rnacentral:lncRNA from 1 species
AAGCCUCUCCCUCCACCAGUGCCGGUAUACAAGAAGCCGGUCCCUCCCCCCGUCCCGGUCUACAAGAAGCCUCACCCUCCGCCCGUCCCAAUCUACAAGAAACCUCUCCCUCCACCUGUCCCAGUCUAUAAGAAGCCUAACCCUCCACCAGUCCCAGUAUACAAGAAACCUUACCCUCCACCAACACCAAUCUACAAGAAACCUCUCCCUCCUCCCGUCCCAGUCUAUAAGAAGCCUAACCCUCCACCAGUCCCAGUAUACAAGAAACCUUGCCCUCCACCAAAACCAAUCUACAAGAAACCUCUCCCUCCACCUGUCCCAAUCUAUAAGAAGCCUCUUCCACCACCAGUUCCAGUAUACAAGAAGCCACUUCCACCACUAGUCCCC